UACGUAGGGUGCGAGCGUUGUCCGGAAUUAUUAGGCGUAAAGGGCUCGUAGGCGGUCUGUUGCGUCGGGAGUGAAAACUCAGGGCUUAACCCUGAGCCUGCUUCCGAUACGGGCAGACUAGAGGUAUGCAGGGGAGAACGGAAUUCCUGGUGUAGCGGUGAAAUGCGCAGAUAUCAGGAGGAACACCGGUGGCGAAGGCGGUUCUCUGGGCAUUACCUGACGCUGAGGAGCGAAAGUGUGGGGAGCGAACAGG
rnacentral:rRNA from 1 species